rnacentral:tRNA from 1 species
AAUGCGGUGAUCUAAAGGCUUAGGAUGCUCGCCCGGAAUGCAAGAGAUCCGGGUUCGACUCCCGGCCGCGCCG